AGUCAAGUCACCAGAAAAAAGUUGUGCGCGCAGCAGUGUUACCGUUGUUCGGUUUCGUCAAUCUGCUGGUAACGCGAGUGAUACGCACCUAUUCCUUUCCUUCGUCGUCUGAGUUUCAACUACUUGGAGAUAUGGAGCAUGCGCGGCAUCUCUCUCGUCUCUGGAAAUGUGAACAUGUGUUCGGCGUUGUACUCUCACGCCCGUUUGUGUGAUUGGACCAUGCAGUUCCUGCAAGAUAUUAAAAAGACAAGGAUGUGAACAGGAGUGCCAAGAACCCGACGACCUUAAAAAGGAAACGGCGUUCUUCAAGUGGACCUUGGUGAUAAAAAGCUCGCUGCCGCCGGCGACUCAGGUGAGCGAUAUCUGCGGCAACCUGGACGAGGACGCCAGCAAUGCUGAAAUUUCGUGUGGGCGGAAUUGACCCACUAAACGAUCACUGUGGCGUUGUUCAUAGUUGUCUCGCCACGUAAGACCAUGAAUUAUCAAUUGUCGGUCGGCGAUGGCAAAUCUACUCGCCGUCCAAGAGUGAAUAUGUCGUGAAACACGCGAUAGUUUGCGUAAAUGAUGAACAGCUGCUUUGUCAUGACGGUUGCGUACUUUUACUUAUGGAAAAAUAAGUUUGAAAAGUUCCACCGCAAUCACUGUAUUUUCCGGUGCGGGAAGUGUCCUGGAAGGGGCGUUAUCCCCCGGUGCGCGUUACACGAGAGCUUUUUAUUCCUUAAGAGCCGUUACUAAGAAGAUGUCGCGCAACCUCUAGCCUCACGCCUUGGUUCACCACUGAACAUAGGCUUGAAUCGUUCGUUUGGAACCGAGAAAACUGGAUGGCAGACGACGAACACAGGGCGGGCACACGAAGAGCGGACAGAGAUAUCGUACGUCGGUGCAACAUCAAAACGUCGUCGAUGUUUCGGUGAUCCUAAACUCAUUUGUUGUCGCUGUUGUGAAGAAACGAACAGCGAAGAGACCGAAGUCUGCUACGACACUACUGGAAUCGGAAUUAUAUGGUCUCGGGUAAGCAUUGUGCCCCUGAUAGACGUAGUAAAAAGUACAGAUAACCAAUGCAAAUAAAGGCCUUGAUUACGGUAGACGCUGUAGUGUAG